rnacentral:rRNA from 1 species
UACGUAGGGGGGCAAGCGUUUGUCCGGAUUUAUUGGGCGUAAAGAGCGUGUAGGCGGCUUUACAGGUCCGUUGUGAAAACUCGAGGCUCAACCUCGAGACGCCGGUGGAAACCGUAAGGCUAGAGUCCGGAAGAGGAGAGUGGAAUUCCUGGUGUAGCGGUGAAAUGCGCAGAUAUCAGGAAGAACACCCGUGGCUAAGGCGGCUCUCUAGUACGGUACUGACGCUGAGACGCGAAAGCGUGGGGAGCGAACAGG